AUACGUAGGGGGCGAGCGUUGUCCGGAAUGAUUGGGCGUAAAGGGCGCGUAGGCGGCGCGGUAAGUCUGGAGUGAAAGUCCUGCUUUCAAGGUGGGAAUUGCUUUGGAUACUGCCGCGCUUGAGUGCAGGAGAGGUUAUCGGAAUUCCCGGUGUAGCGGUGAAAUGCGUAGAGAUCGGGAGGAACACCAGUGGCGAAGGCGGGUAACUGGACUGCAAUUGACGCUGAGGCGCGAAAGUGUGGGGAGCAAACAGGAUUAGAUACCCUGGUAGUCCACACUGUAAACGAUGAAUGCUAGGUGUAAGAGGUAUCGACCCCUUUUGUGCCGGAGUCAACACAAUAAGCAUUCCGCCUGGGGAGUACGGCCGCAAGGUUGAAACUCAAAGGAAUUGACGGGG
rnacentral:rRNA from 1 species